rnacentral:rRNA from 1 species
AAUCAACGCUGGCGGCGUGCCUCAGACAUGCAAGUCGAACGAUUAAAGCUCUCUUCGGAGAGUGCAUAGAGUGGCGCACGGGUGAGUAACACGUAAGUAAUCUACCUUCGAGUGGGGAAUAACGUCCGGAAACGGACGCUAAAUACCGCAUAAUGCAGCGGCAUCGUAAGAUGACAGUUGUUAAAGAUUUAUCGCUUGAAGAGGAGCUUGCGGCAGAUUAGCUAGUUGGUAAGGUAAUGGCUUACCAAGGCUACGAUCUGUAACCGGUCUUAGAGGACGGUCGGUCACACUGACACUGAAUAACGGGUCAGACUCCUACGGAGGCAGCAGUCGGGAAUUUUGGGCAAUGGGCGAAAGCCUGACCCAGCAACGCCGCGUGAAGGAUGAAGUAUUUCGGUAUGUAAACUUCGAAGAAUAGGAAGAAUAAAUGACGGUACUAUUUAUAAGGU